AAUGCCAAGGAGUAUUUUACUUUUUAGCAAAAACCUUCUCUUAAAUGUGGAGAACACUCAGGGGGAGGUGGAAGAGAGAAAGCAGUGAACAGAUUCAUCUUCCCUUCUAUAUCUGAAAGGAUAAGCAGGCUGUGCUUUCCAGAAAUGCGUGACCUAUCCAAUCCUUCCUCUCAUGGAAACACCAACUCAUCCAUGCCCUCUGUGCUGAAACUUCGUCUCAGCCUGCUGGAAUCACCUGCACCCCAUGGGAACUGUAGCCAUAUCUUCAGUCCUGUGAGCCCCCGUCAUGGCCUGUCACAGGAGUAAAUGAGGAGUAAGGCCCAGAAUACUCAGUACCUCUCAAUGACCCUCAGACGCUGUAGGAAGAGGAUUGGUUCACCUUUUAACCCAGAAUUUCUCACAUUGAAUGGACAGGAUGCAUUCCAAGAGGCCAGAGUAUGUGCAUCUCAGCUCCUGAUGGUUUCCACCACCACCAUUACUUUCUCUAUGUCAAGAUACCUGGGAAGCCGGAAAGGCCACAUGGAAAGCAGUGCUCCUCUUCUUCACUGGAUGUGAUCAUUUUUGCAUAAGAGAUUACUGAAUCAUCUUGCAAUAACAUAAGACUUGUCUGCCUGCCAAAAUAAUUUGCUCUGCUAAGGAUGGCAGAGCAAGGAAAGGAGGAAGCACCCAGGUCCUUGACAAGUGUUUCAUUUGCAUUCUUGGAGCCCAGGAACUGUCUUCUACAAACUUUUCUUCCUAGUACCAUGUAAACGUACACAGGAAACGUUCAGAAAACAUCAGCCAAAUAGAAGA
rnacentral:lncRNA from 1 species